UGCAACCCGACUCCAUGAAGCUGGAUUCGCUAGUAAUCGCGCAUCAGCCACGGCGCGGUGAAUACGUUCCCGGGCCCUUGUACACACCGCCCGUCAAGCCAUGGGAGUCGGGAGUGCCUGAAGUGCGUGAGCGCGAGCAGCGCCCUAGGGCAAAACCGAUGACUGGGGCUAAGUCGUAACAAGGUACC
rnacentral:rRNA from 1 species